GCCAAUCAUGAAUCGCGGGUGGGAUUUUGAAUGGAUGGGCGGAGUUAUGGGCGGAUGUGAUGUAAAGCAUUAGCGACAGCAGUGUAGUCUUCACUUCACAACAAACAUGGCAGCGCGCUGUAGUACUAGUACUCAGUGCGCUGAAAUGGAUUCGGCUAUUUCCACGGUAUUGUCUUGUAUUCCAAAUGUUCAGGCAUUGAAAUACAAACAAAUGACGGCGCUUAAGGCGUUUGUUGGCGGCGAGGAUGUGUUUGCGUUUCUUCCGACCGGAUUUGGCAAAAGUUUGAGCUGGCUCCACUGGUCGCUAAAGCCGCUGUGAGAUGGACACUCCCAACUGAGCUCACUCCCGGACGUGUAGCCCCAGAUGGUUCUAUCACUCCCAGACGUUCUAUCCCACCCGAUUAUAUUUCACGUGCUAUUUCACGUGCUAAAGCAAUGGGGAAAGUGCAGGAUCCCAUCUUUAUUGUGGUGUUCCCCCUGGCUGCGUUAAUGGAGGACCAAGUCAGAGAGGCUGGAAAUCUAACGGGUCUAACGGCAAUGGAACUGGGAGGAAGACAUCCUUCAGGGACGUUGCCAGGCCAGCCGGUCUUCGGUAGCCCCGAGUCGUGGCUGAAGGACAAAUGACUGACCAUGCUAUCCUCAGACCUCUACCAGAAGAAUCUACUGGGCAUCGUUGUCGAUGAGGUUCACGUCACCUACAAAUGGAAUGAAAGGCCUUCCUGCUCAGUUGGGAGAACGUCACAGCAAAGAAGACAUGCCUGUCAUGGCUUUAAUGCCAUCUGCAGUCACAGAAGAUGGGACACAGAGAGCUGCUACAUAUGGAGAGAGUGCCAUUCAACAGUGAGCCCACCCAACAGGACAGUUUGCACUAGGUUGGAUCACAGCUUAUUGAAGAAACAUGAGAAGAGCAUUAGUCCCUAUAUCUUUGAU